AGCAAAGGGGCCUUAAAAUUCCUAUUUUAAACAUGUCAGAUAUUAAAUUCACAUUCGGUACUAAUAAUGUCAUGGUAAUGCUGCUGUGUAGUUUUAAUAACACACUAACUUUCGUCCUCAGAAAUGACCACGCACUAUUAUUGACAUUAGAGCAGGCUCCGUUAUAGGUGGAGUUCCAAAUGGCUCGCCAACGGACAUGUAGUGCACUACAUAGUGUGUAGAACGCAGUAAUUUCACAUCCUAUAUAGUGCACCAAUAUAGGAAGUAAGGAGUUGUUUAGGAUUUAGCCUUUCUAAUGCCAUAACUGUUCAGGCAUGUGUGUAUUCAGCUGCUUAAAAAAGCCACUAGUUAAACACUAAAAAAUGUGUGCCAGUAAGAUGAAAAGUUCAUCAGACAGUAUGUAAUCAUAUAGUCAAGACACAUUUGGUGUGUGAAGUUUGCUGAUUCAGUUUUGUGCUGGAGAGACCAGGCUAAUGUAACUACCAAGCAAUGAAAGCUCAGAGCCACCAGUUUAACAUUCAGCCACUGCAUGCUUCAGUCCGUAUCAGUGAUUUGGAAGAUCCUGUUCAUAUAUUUUUAAUGUUGACUUCUGUUAUGUUAUGAAACUUUAUGUUGUAAUAACAUAACUGAGCCAAGUAGCAUCUUUUGAGGUGAGUGUGUAAUGAUUUAGGCAUGAAGUCUGCACAGUGAUAAACUGGCGGCUUUACACUGCCAUUAAUUACAUUAGCUUUGUGGAAAACAAAGAAAGAAAGAAGCAAAUGCCGGACAUCAUACAUGUCUUGGCUAAAUGAGGAAACAAACAAUGUAUAUAUAUUUGAUUGUUGACAAAUCUAUGGCUUCAAGAUU